rnacentral:lncRNA from 1 species
CACUGACAUCUUUUGUAGCUUUGGGCCUUGUGGUGCAUUCACUGAAGUCAGUAAUUGCCCACUGGGAACUAUUUUUAAUAGUUCUCACGUCCCUGUUUUAUGGUUUACUUUUCAGAGCCUUCGGCACCGGCGGAGGCCCGGGAUCGCGGCAAGGGGAUCGCUUAGCUAGCUAGCGAGGAGCGGUACUUUGCCUAGGUGGUUUACUCUUCCUUUUGUAGUUGAGAGAGUGAG